rnacentral:rRNA from 1 species
CCUACGGGCGGCAGCAGUGGGGAAUAUUGCACAAUGGGGGGAACCCUGAUGCAGCGACGCCGCGUGAGUGAAGAAGUAUUUCGGUAUGUAAAGCUCUAUCAGCAGGGAAGAAAAUGACGGUACCUGACUAAGAAGCCCCGGCUAACUACGUGCCAGCAGCCGCGGUAAUACGUAGGGGGCAAGCGUUAUCCGGAUUUACUGGGUGUAAAGGGGGCGCAGACGGCUGUGCAAGUCUGGAGUGAAAGGCGGGGGCCCAACCCCCGGACUGCUCUGGAAACUGUAAAGCUGGAGUGCAGGAGAGGUAAGCGGAAUUCCUAGUGUAGCGGUGAAAUGCGUAGAUAUUAGGAGGAACACCAGUGGCGAAGGCGGCUUACUGGACUGCAACUGACGUUGAGGCUCGAAGGCGUGGGGAGCAAACAGGAUUAGAUACCCUUGUAGUC